UGCAGUGUGGUGUAGUGGUAAAGAGCAGGGCUCGUAACCAAAAGGUUGUUGGUUCGAUUCCCUGCUGUUGUAC